UCUAAAUGUAUUAUUGUGAAACUGUCAUCCCUCUAGCUUGAGAGAAAUAGAAACUGGCUUCUACUCAAAGCAGACAAACUGUCUCUCUCAUCUCUGAAAACUAAAAAUCUAAAAAGAAAAAAUUAGGCUGAAUACUAGAAGGUCAGAGAGUGGCCUUUUUGUCAACUCUUCAUGGUUGUGUUAAGUGCCAUUCCAUUCUGAGCUGGCAGUUCUUAGACAUGUUUCCCUCUAGAACAUAACACUAGAGAUGCUUGGACCAUCUGUCUGUCCGACAGACCAUCUGUACAAGGCACUGGCACCCCUUCCAGAAAAUAGAAGAGAAACUGAGGACACUAAAUAGGGAAUAACUAAGUCCACUUUGGAAAAAAGAAUACUAAGUGCUCACGAAGGGACCUUGUGAAUGAUCAUGUGCAAAGUUACGGAUGCUGAAAAGCCAAAGGUCAAAAGGCUGCAUCUGUUAAGAGCCUUCUUGCUGGUGGAAACUUUGAAGAGUCCCAAGAUGGCACAGGAAGCAUCUUGAAUUUUGAGAGUAAAUCAAGAAAGAAGAAGACACUGAUUCAAGAAGAGGCCACCUAACAUAACAGAGGAAAAGCCGUGAGAGGAUGCAAUGAGACGCCAGCCCAUCUGAGAGCUAAGAAGAGAGCCCUCACUAGAAAUUAAACCCUGCCAGACUUUGACCUGAGACUUUUUAAAACUUCAGAAUUGUCAGAAAUAAAUUUCUGUUGUUUAAGCCACUCAAUCUACAGUAUUUUGUUAUGGAAACCUGAGCAACGUAAGAUACUAGUUCAUACUGAUUCUUGAGAGUCAAUGGUUAAAU
rnacentral:lncRNA from 10 species